rnacentral:rRNA from 2 species
UAUGGUGACUAUAGCACUGGUGUCCACCUCUUCCCAUUUCGAACAGAGAAGUUAAGCCCAGUAGCGCCGAUGGUACUAGAGUGAAAUCUGGAAGAGUAGGUCGUUGCCGUUU